UUCUUUGCCUAAAAUUCUGAUGUCUUUAUCCUUUGAGUUACUAUUGAGCCAAUCCUCCCUUACCCAGUUUUUAUAUAACUGAAGUUUUGAAUCUAAGUGUAGGAAGUUAUAUGUAUACCUUAUUCCUACUAAAUUGAGUCUUUGUUUUGGCUUAUUAUUAGUCCUGAAGAAGUGUUUUUUUUUUUUUCUGUUUCCGUGUUGCAUUUUUUAAGCUUAGUUAUGUCAAUAAUCCAUCAAUUCUCCUUCCUCCUAUUGUCUGUAAAAUUGAUGAACAUAGCUUUUAUA
rnacentral:lncRNA from 1 species